rnacentral:rRNA from 1 species
AGCAGCCGCGGUAAUUCCAGCUCCAAUAGCGUAUAUUAAAGUUGUUGCAGUUAAAAAGCUCGUAGUUGAAAUUUCGGGAUCAAUAUGUUGGUCGUGCCUCGGUACGUACUAGCAUAUUGGUUUCUCCUUUCUGAAGAACCAUGAUGUCAUUUAUUUGGUGUCGUGGGGGAAUCAGGACUGUUACUUUGAAAAAAGUUAGAGUGUUUAAAGCAGGCUCACGCUUGAAUACAUUAGCAUGGAAUAAUGAAAUAGGACGUUUGAUUCUAUUUUGUUGGUUUCUAGGAUCGACGUAAUGAUUAAUAGGGAUAGUUAGGGGCAUUAGUAUUCAAUUGUCAGAGGUGAAAUUCUUGGAUUUAUUGAAGACUAACUACUGCGAAAGCAUUUAGCCAAGGGAUGUUUUCAUUAAUCAAGAACGAAAGUUAGGGGAUCGAAGACGAUCAGAUACCGUCGUAGUCUUAACCAUAAACUAUGCCGACUAGGGAUCGGAUGAUGUUAAAUUUUUUAAUGACUCAUUCGGNGC